UUGGUACUCCCUCCGUCCAACAAAGAAUGUCUCAAGUUUGUCAAAAUUUGGAUGUAUCUAGACAUGACUUAGUGUAUAGAUGUAUUCAAAUUUAGUUAAAGUUAAGACAUCUUUUGUUGGACAGAGGGAGUAGAUA
rnacentral:pre_miRNA from 1 species